AAUAUUGGACAAUGGGCGAAAGCCUGAUCCAGCCAUGCCGCGUGUGUGAAUAAGGUCUUCGGAUUGUAAAGCACUUUAAGUUGGGAGGAAGGGUUGUAGGUUAAUACCCGGCAAUUAUUACGUUACCAACUGAAUAAGCACCGGCUAACUUCGUCCCAGCAGCCGCGGUAAUACGAAGGGUGCAAGUGGUAAUCGGAAUUACUGGGCGUAAAGCGCGCGUAGGUGGUUCGUUAAGUUGGAAGUGAAAGCCCCGGGCUUAACCUGGACAUUGCUUUCAAAACUGACGAGAUAGAGUACGGUAGAGGGUAGUAGAAUUUCCUGUGUAGCGGUGAAAUGCGUAGAUAUAGGAAGGAACACCAGUGGCGAAGGCGACUACCUGGACUGAUACUGACACUGAGGUGCGAAAGCGUGGGGAGCAAACA
rnacentral:rRNA from 1 species